GGUUCAGGACGAACGCUGGCGGCGUGCCUAAUACAUGCAAGUCGAACGGUCUUUCUAUGGAAGCUUGCUUCCACUGAGAAGAUAGUGGCGAACGGGUGAGUAACACGUGGGUAACCUGCCCAUAAGAGGGGGAUAACAUCCGGAAACGGGUGCUAAUACCGCAUAGUUUUCUUGAUCGCAUGAUCGGGAAAGGAAAGACGGCCUUUGUGCUGUCGCUUAUGGAUGGACCCGCGGCGUAUUAGUUAGUUGGUGAGGUAACGGCUCACCAAGACGAUGAUACGUAGCCGACCUGAGAGGGUGAUCGGCCACAUUGGGACUGAGACACGGCCCAAACUCCUACGGGAGGCAGCAGUAGGGAAUCUUCCGCAAUGGACGAAAGUCUGACGGAGCAACGCCGCGUGAGUGAAGAAGGUUUUUCCGGAUCGUAAAACUCUGUUGUCAGAGAAGAACAAGUUGGAGAGUAACUGCUCCAGCCUUGACGGUAUCUGACCAGAAAGCCACGGCUAACUACGUGCCAGCAGCCGC
rnacentral:rRNA from 1 species